rnacentral:rRNA from 1 species
ACUCCUACGGGAGGCAGCAGUGGGGAAUAUUGCACAAUGGGGAAACCCUGAUGCAGCCAUGCCGCGUGUGUGAAGAAGGCCUUCGGUUGUAAAGCACUUCAGUAGGGAGGAAGGUAGUGUAGUUAACACCUGCAUUAUUUGACGUUACCUACAGAAGAAGCACCGGCUAACUCCGUGCCAGCAGCCGCGGUAAUACGGAGGGGUGCGAGCGUUAAUCGGAAUUACUGGGCGUAAAGCGCAUGCAGGCGGCCUGUUAAGUCAGAUGUGAAAGCCCGGGGGCUUAACCUCGGAAUUGCAUUUGAAACUGGCAGGCUAGAGUCUUGUAGAGGGGGUAGAAUUUCAGGUGUAGCGGUGAAAUGCGUAGAGAUCUGAAGGAAUACCAGUGGCGAAGGCGGCCCCCUGGACAAAGACUGACGCUCAGAUGCGAAAGCGUGGGGAGCAAACAGGAUUAGAUACCCUGGUAGCACAGAG